CGUGGCUAAUCUGCCCUUGGGACAAGAACACCCCCGGGAAACUGGGGCUAAUUCUCGAUAGGUGAAGAACUCUGGAAUGAGUCUUCGCUUAAAAGAUGCUGGGGUUAUGCUCUCCAGUUUCGCCCAAGGAUGAGGCCGCGACCGAUCAGGUUGUUGGUGAGGUAAUGGCUCACCAAGCCUUUUACCGGUGCGGGCCGUGAGAGCGGGAGCCCGGAGAUGGGCACUGAGACAAGGGCCCAGGCCCUACGGGGCGCAGCAGUCGCGAAAACUUUGCAAUAAGCGAAAGCUUGACAGGGCUAUCCCGAGUGCCAUCCGCUGAGGAAGGCUUUUACCCAGUCUAGAACGCUGGGGGAAUAAGGAGAGGGCAAGUCUGGUGUCAGCCGCCGCGGUAAUACCAGCUCUCCGAGUGGUGUGGAUGUUUAUUGGGCCUAAAGCAUCCGUAGCUGGCUAGGUUAGUCCCCUGUUAAAUCCACCGAAUUAAUCGUUGGAUUGCGGGGGAUACUGCUUGGCUAGGGGACGAGAGAGGCAGACGGUAUUUCCGGGGUAGGGGCGAAAUCCUAUAAUCCCGGGAAGACCACCAGUGGCGAAGGCUGUCUGCUAGAACGCGCCCGACGGUGAGGGAUGAAAGCUGGGGGAGCGAACCGGAUUAGAUACCCGGGUAGUCCCAGCUGU
rnacentral:rRNA from 1 species